rnacentral:rRNA from 1 species
ACGGGUGAGUAACACGUAUCCAACCUGCCGUCUACUCUUGGACAGCCUUCUGAAAGGAAGAUUAAUACAAGAUGGCAUCAUGAGUCCGCAUGUUCACAUGAUUAAAGGUAUUCCGGUAGACGAUGGGGAUGCGUUCCAUUAGAUAGUAGGCGGGGUAACGGCCCACCUAGUCUUCGAUGGAUAGGGGUUCUGAGAGGAAGGUCCCCCACAUUGGAACUGAGCACGGUCCAA